rnacentral:rRNA from 1 species
GACGAACGCUGGCGGCGUGCCUAAUACAUGCCAGUCGAACGAGAGCGCCCGGUGCUUGCACUGGUCAAUCUAGUGGCGAACGGGUGAGUAACACGUGGGUAACCUGCCCAUCAGAGGGGGAUAACAUCCGGAAACGGAUGCUAAAACCGCAUAGGUCUUCGAGCCGCAUGGCUUGAAGAGGAAAAGAGGCGCAAGCUUCUGCUGAUGGAUGGACCCGCGGUGCAUUAGCUAGUUGGUGAGGUAACGGCUCACCAAGGCCGUGAUGCAUAGCCGACCUGAGAGGGUGAUCGGCCACAUUGGGACUGAGACACGGCCCAAACUCCUACGGGAGGCAGCAGUAGGGAAUCUUCCGCAAUGGACGCAAGUCUGACGGAGCAACGCCGCGUGAGUGAAGAAGGUUUUCGGAUCGUAAAACUCUGUUGUUAGAGAAGAACAAGUGCUAGAGUAACUGUUAGCGCCUUGACGGUAUCUAACCAGAAAGCCACGGCUAACUACGUG